CCUUUAGAGUGAGAUGACGUCCUAUUACAUUCCGAUCGUGGCGGUUACAACCAUCAUCCUGGCGGCGUCGCUGCUGGACCUCACUCUUCUUGGGUUAGAGGGAGCGUCCUCCGGUAAAGGUUUUGAAGUAACGAGGCCUUGGACACUUCUGGUUGUUGUGUGCAAAAUCUGUGUGCGAAUACGAACGGCUUUGCUGUUGCGCGAUAGAUUUUUCUAGCGUGAUUCAACCAGCUUGGUAAAGCUUCAAGAGGUCUUCUGCUCCUCCGUCAAGAUGGCACUGAAGACGGAGCCCGCAAGAAAGCAGUCGCCAACGGAGACGAAAAAUCCUUAUUUGCAAAGCCCGUUUCUUCUCGCCGCCGACGUCAGGCACAGGGCUCUCCAUGGCCUCCCCGGGGGGUGAGCUGCACUGCCCUCAACGCCUCUACUAUCAGAGUGUCGUGGUCGCCUCCGGAUCCUGCUAAUGUUCGAGGGAAUUUGCUGGGUUAUCGGGUCCUAUACGGACCUUCUGAGGAAUUUCACGAGGAAUCCUGCACAUUCCUGUUGGUUUCCCCGUCCGCCGGCGUCCUCUUGAAAGGUCUGACAAACGACACCCACUACAGCAUCCAAGUUAUGGCCUACACCGACGCCGUCAUAGGGGGCGCUUCCCCGGCCGUUCUCUGUCGCACUCCUCCGCUGAUCCCUGCGACUUCUGCAAACGGUCACAUAUAAAAUGCGGAAUAGCGUUGCUGCUGUCUGACACAUGAUGCCCUAUAGACAAGACUCGAGGUUACGUUACUUAUUAAAGGCCCAAAUUUUAGUAAAUAAGGAUACUAGUAAAUCAAAGUAUCACA
rnacentral:misc_RNA from 1 species